UUUUAAUUUUGUUUCAUUUUUAUUUACAUUUAGAGAAGAUUCAAGGCAGCAGCCAGUGUUCAGGUACAGACAACACUCCAAAUGAAGUUACACCAAGAAAAGAGCCAUUAUCGGUUUCUUUUUCCAAAACAGCUGCCCUUUACAAAACAUCUGUUCAAAGUUGCAAAUUUCUGCUGGCAAAAAAUUGCAGGUUCUCUAUUUUCGAACUGUCAAAACUUUCUCUCUCUCGCGCUCGCUUCUGCUGGCAAAUAAAGUACGCGAACGACUUCCAGUAAAAAGUUGUGCAAAUAUGCAUAAAUUUUUGAGUUCCCGAACACAGCUUCUAAUGCACACACCCAACUAAAACUCGUUGACAGAUAGCGUACGCCGCGAGAAAAAAUUGAACUCAGCUGUAAACUACCUGGGUAAAUUUGUCUUGAAUCUAUGCCAACAAGCCAGCGACGAGUGAUGAAGUUCGUACAAAUAUCGAACGCGAAAUUGCAACAGUAUUGGCCGAUUUAUGCUUGAAAACGUCUAAAAUUGGGUUCAGCGCCUGGAAUUCUACAAGCGUGCCAGUGGUGGCCAUGCAAAAAAAUCGAAUUCCAUAUAUAAUGGCAUCGAACGUACUUUCACAGAAAUAAAGAAUUUCAUUAAUAUCCACA